rnacentral:sRNA from 1 species
GCCGGGCGUGGUGGCGCACACCUUUAAUCCCAGCACUUGGGAGGCAGAGGCAGGCAGAUCUUUGUGAGUUCGAGGCCAGCCUGGUCUACAUAGUGAGUUCCAGGACAACUGGGGCUACAAGGAGACCCUGUUUCAGAAAGAAAAAAAAAAACAACUUUUUUGGGUCUUUUUGUAGCCCCAACUCGCCUGGAACUCACAAGGUAGACCAGGCUGGCCUCAAUCUCACAGAGAUUCAUCUGCGUCU